rnacentral:rRNA from 1 species
AGAGUUUGAUCAUGGCUCAGAACGAACGCUGGCGGCAGGCUUAACACAUGCAAGUCGAGCGCACCUUUCGGGGUGAGCGGCGGACGGGUGAGUACCGCGUGGGAACCUGCCCUGAGGUGGGGAAUAACCUUGGGAAACCGAGGCUAAUACCGCAUAUGCCCUGCGGGGCAAAGGCUUUCGAGCCGCCUUGGGAGGGGCCCGCGUCCGAUUAGCUUGUUGGUGGGGUAAUGGCCUACCAAGGCUGCGAUCGGUCGCUGGUCUGAGAGGAUGAUCAGCCACACUGGGACUGAGACACGGCCCAGACUCCUACGGGAGGCAGCAGUGGGGAAUAUUGGACAAUGGGGGCAACCCUGAUCCAGCCAUGCCGCGUGAGUGAAGAAGGCCUUAGGGUUGUAAAGCUCUUUCACCCGUGACGAUGAUGACGGUAGCGGGAGAAGAAGCCCCGGCUAAUUCCGUGCCAGCAGCCGCGGUAAUACGGAAGGGGCUAGCGUUGUUCGGAAUUACUGGGCGUAAAGCGCGCGUAGGCGGCCAAGCAAGUGAGGCGUGAAAGCCCUGGGCUCAACCUGGGAACGGCGCUUCAUACUGCUUGGCUUGAGUCCGGGAGAGGGUGGUGGAAUUCCCAGUGUAGAGGUGAAAUUCGUAGAUAUUGGGAGGAACACCGGUGGCGAAGGCGGCCACCUGGCCCGGCACUGACGCUGAAGUGCGAAAGCGUGGGGAGCAAACAGGAUUAGAUACCCUAGUAGUCC